GAUCCAGGCUCGGGAUGAACGCUAGCUACAGGCUUAACACAUGCAAGUCGAGGGGCAGCAUGAACUUAGCUUGCUAAGUUUGAUGGCGACCGGCGCACGGGUGAGUAACACGUAUCCAACCUUCCGUUUACUCAGGGAUAGCCUUUCGAAAGAAAGAUUAAUACCUGAUAGUAUGGUGAGAUUGCAUGAUAGCACCAUUAAAGAUUUAUUGGUAAACGAUGGGGAUGCGUUCCAUUAGG
rnacentral:rRNA from 1 species